rnacentral:sRNA from 1 species
ACGACGGGCGCCUAGCGCCCGGUCGUGGACGGUGUUGCGGCGUGGCGAUUACCCCCCGCACCGGCCGAGCGCCGUCCCGGCGUCGCGAGCCUUGUCGGAGGUUCGCGACGCCAAAAG